AAUCGUCUCUACCAUAUAAAAAAAAAAACCAAAUUCAGGUAAGUUAUUAUAGAAAAUCCUAUCACGCCUUAUCGUCUUCUUCGUCCUCUUAAAACCUAACUGCUCAAGUCGGUUCUCUACCGCCGCCGCCGCCGCCGCUUCUGCUGCUGCUGUUAUUCUCGGCAGUAUUUCCUGUGUUUCCAUUUAUCAUGGACGAGAUGAUGGAGGUGCCGAAAGAGGGUGAGAUGACGGACGUGUUUCUGGAUGAGACAGUUUCUGAAGCAGACAGUAAAAUAGAAGGCUUUGGAAAUGAUGCUAGCAAACAUUCUGUGGGUGUUUGGUGUGAACCUGUGGUUGAGGUUCUAUCUGUGAGUCUCCGCAACAUUAAUAAGAACAGCAAUAUCAUGAGAUCACGGGCAAUUUAUGCUAAUAUUUUUGUUGUUGAUAGUAUGACUAAUAAGACUAAUACCAAAUGUGUUAUCUAUGAACGCAAUGUUCAAGGUCAUGAACCAGAGAUAAUCCCUUUCGAUGGUGGUACCUUAAGCCUCACAGGGCCUGAUGAUAUUAUGUCAAUGGAUAGACCAUUUAUUGGUCUUGAUAUCUUCGACAGGGUUGUAGGUGAAACCAUCGUUAAUGGUUUUAAACCUUUGGUGAAGACUGUUGAUAUGGCAAAACAAAAUCAUACGUUUGAACAAUUCAACAAACUUAUGGUUCAUGGCCAUCAUGAGUCUGGCUGUUCCGCAGAGUUGGAGUACCUUGCACUAACUUUUGGUGUUUUUGCCACUGUCGAGGUCCAACUCAUUAAAGGAAGGGGGAACAAGAGGAGAAUAGGAGAAGAAAAGGAAGAGAAAGGAUUUAAGGUUUACGGGACAAUUUCUGCCAGUUAUAAUCUUUUAUGUUCGGAAAGUAAAGUUAAUCGCAUUAUGCUUUUUGAGACUAAGGAGGAUUCUAAUGACUUUAAAUGGGUGAGAUUGGGGUGUCCUCUCGCCCUGUCUAGAUCUGUGGUGGCAGUGCCUGCAUAUUCAUCUCUCACAAUUCAAGUAGAAUUAUGGGAUUUUGCUACAAAGAAGCUAAUUGUUCAGGGCAGCAAUAAGUUUGAAACUACGAACCACAGGGCUGAGAAAACCAUUACUGGUCUAAGUAAUUUAGAUGCAGAAGUGACUAUUGUUUGGGAGAAGCCGUUCAAGUUGGAUGAUCCGGUCGCCAAAAAAUCAAUCAAUUGUGGAAUUCAUUCCCAUUUUUGGGCUCCUCAUGCAGUGGAGGUGUUUUCAAUCUUUAUUGGCCGGGAAACUGACAAGCCCUUGCGACUCCAUGGAAUGGUUGCCUUUGGCGGUGGCCCGGGUGGUUUUAAACUUUUUAACAGAUGCAAGGAUGAUCCGUUUAUCUUGGACCCUGGCAGAAAUUUGUUACCUCUAAAAGGCCCAAAUGUUACUUUAGCAGGCGGGGAUGCAUUUGAGAUAUCAGUGGACCUUGAGGAUGUUGAUGGUCUUGUGUCAAUCAAAGGGAUUGUAUCGUCAGGUUAUGGAAUUGAUCAUCAUCAAGGUGGUUGGUUUAAUCGGCUCUUGUGUUCUGUUAUUAAAGGAGUUUAUCGGAGCCAUGCCUAUUUUCUCCAAGGAGCUUCUCGCCGGUGGAGUUUCCGGCGGCAUCGCUAAAACUGACGUAGCCCCUCUUGAACGAAUCAAGAUUCUUUUUUAGAAAGAUGAUAAAGUAUUGAGAAGUUCAGUAAACGAACCGUGAAGAUCACAUUUGUUAGGAUUUUCAAUCGACCUCCGUAUUUGGAAUCUUACUCAAGUGGGGUGAAUAUUAAGUCCAAAGCAUCCACACGUUGGCAAUGCAGACCAAGAAGAGACUUUCUUCAAAAGUUAGAGCCUUCUAGCUCUAUAAGACUGAGAUCUCAGAUGAAGGUAUCUGAAAAUGUUCCAGUUGCCGAGAUCGAAUAAGGCUGCAGUCUCAACUGCUUGAAAAUCUACCUAUGACCCAAGUGAUGCACACAAAGUGGUGCAGACCCACGUGAUGCAGAUCCAAAGUGGUGCAGACCCAAGUGAUGUAGAUCCAAAGUGGUGCAGAACUAAGUGAUGCAGACCUUUGUGAAAAUUCAUGUGGUGCAGACCCAAGUGAUGCAGACAAAGUGGUGCGGGCACAAGGUGGUGCAGAUCCAAAAUGAUUUGUUAGUCUUCUUUCAUUAUGGACCUGAGUGAGAUAUUCAUUUAGCUUUUUAUGCAGGUGGUAAACUGAGUUUUAGGGAGCUAAUUGAUGAUGAAGAUAAUAUUUUUGGGUUGAAAAAGGCUCUGAUGGUGCAGACCCAAGUGAUGCAGUCAAAGUGGUUCAGACCCACCAAGUGAUGCAGAUCCAAAGUGGUUCAGACCCACCAAGUGAUGCAGAUCCAAAGUGGUGCAAACCCAAGUGAUGUUGGUUCAAAGUGGUUAAACUGGAUACAUAAGCUGGAUUAUGACUCCCCAUAAUCUAUUAUCCGGUUAUGACUCGCUCACAUGAUUGACCGUGCCCCAACAGGAUAAUCUAUUAUACCUUGAGAGAUCUACGUGAGUUGAAGACGGUAAUAAGUGAAUAACAAUUCAAAGAAUGGUGAGGUUAAGGAAGCGGAUGAAGCUGAUGAUAAUACCAAUUACCAAAUUUUCGUAAGGUGGGAUAAUGUGCUUGUUUUCCUGGAUAAACUAAAGGUUCCAAGGCAUUAGAGGAAUCAGAAAGCUUAAAACUGGCCAAAUUUCCUGGUUCUUUUAGCUUUCCUUAUUACCAAAGGAUGGGUGAAACUUAGUUGACACAGGAGGGAUGCGAAAAAUGAAGGGAAAUCAUUUAAUUACCCCGGCUAUUUUGUAACCGCCAACAUGUAGUUGGACAAGAUUUGGUCAUGAAUCAAAUCACUGGUUGUAUGUUAAAGAAUUAUAAUACAGUAAACUUUUGAUACAGUGUGUUAUAACUCUUUUAGAAUCAACAUUGUUUAUGUUGAAUGAUUUUAGUAUUUAGAUUACCUUACGUGGUCUAGGAAUUCAGGGUAUUUCAUAUGAACAUAGACCACUUGAAGUUUUAUGCUCCUAGGAAAUAACUACAUUUCUUAUCAUUUACUAUAUCCACGCUUUUAACUA